rnacentral:rRNA from 1 species
GAAAUUCGCCUUCAUGAAGCUGGAAUUGCUGUAAUGGCAGGUCAGCAUACUGCCGUGAAUACGUUCCCGGGCCUUGUACACACCGCCCGUCACACCAUGAGAGUUGGAAAUACCCGAAGCCUGUGAGCUAACUGUAAAGAGGCAGCAGUCGAAGGUAGAGCCAAUGAUUGGGGUGAAGUCGUAACAAGGUAGC